GACGAACCGUCCAAACGUUAUUCGGUAUCACUGGGCUUAAAGCGUACGUAGGCGGCCUAGCAGGUGAGGUGUGAAAUCCCUCGGCUCAACCGAGGAACUGCGCUUCAAACCGUUAGGCUUGAGGGAGACAGGGGUGAUGGGAACUGUUGGUGGAGCGGUGAAAUGCGUUGAUAUCAACAGGAACACCGGUGGCGAAAGCGCAUCACUGGGUCUCUUCUGACGCUGAGGUACGAAAGCUAGGGGAGCGAACGGG
rnacentral:misc_RNA from 1 species